rnacentral:rRNA from 1 species
CUAUUAUGGAGAGUUUGAUCCUGGCUCAGGACGAACGC